UAUGGUAGGAAAAGAUUGCUAAAGGACUCAUCAAGGAAAUAAAGGAUCUACAAUCUUAUUAUUCAAAGGAGAAUCUAAAGUACAACUUGAUUCUUUGUGAUCUGUUUUUCAUCCCCAUAUGCUUGGAUAAACAUUAGUUUUUAUACGUGAUAAAUUUGAAGGAUAAAAUAUUACAUAUUUUGGAUUCCAUACAAAGAGAAAACACAAUUGAUCAAAAUAUGACACAGAAAAUAGUGGAUACAUGCGAGAUGAUUUUAACCUCGCUAAAUGAGGAGAGGAUACUUUCAAUUUCUAAAUGGAGUCUAGAUCGACCUCAACUUCUAUUACAAACAAACUUAUAUGCAUGAUUGUGGUGUCUUCAUGUUGAAUUUUAUGGAAUGUUGGGAUUGGGAAUUGACUGAAAAUUUCUCACAGUUAUGGAUAUGCUUA